UGGGAGGAGGCCAUGGGGAAGUAGUCCAGGGAAUUGUAGGCUGUCAUGUAGCUAUUAAAGGAGGCAGUCUAGACAGCUGCAAUCCACAGGCCCUGGGUUGGAACCCAGAGCAGAGGGUGGGCCUGGGUUCCCCCCAAACCUCCCAACUCCUGAUCAGACACAGGAGAGGUUGACCUGGACUGUGGGUUCCAUCAGAGGGGAGGUGUCUGGGCUAUUUCCCGACCUACAUGGUGGAUCAGCAGAGGCUGCGUGGAUUGUUCUUUUUUUCUCCAUGCUGGCCAGCGAUGAGAUUAUCUGAGUGACCGGCAGAUUUGAGCCAUGAAAGUGGCUAAACUGAGGGCUGCCAUGAAUCUCUGAGGCAAGUAAAUCUGCCAGCACAGGACCCACCAAGAUAGAGGAGCAACUUUUGUCACAAUUGAUUACCCCCAAAAGUUGACAACAGUUACUAUACAGCUACCAAGAGUUAUUUCCUUUCUUACGUGUAAGGAAAAUCUGAGCUUUCUUUAGACACCAUUGUAUGUGGUAACUUGGCAAAAGCUGACAUUUUCAGCCACAGUCUCUAAUUUUGUGUCUUAAAUAAUAUUUCACUGGAGUCACUUCUGGUUAACAGUAGAGUAAAUGACAGGAGAUUCAGGGCCCUUAUUUUUCUCUUGAUGAAAAGCAGUCGAGCAUCUUUUCCUGUUACGCCAUUUGCACUCACCAUGUGAGAACUGUAGCCUAAAUGCCAAUGAACCCCCCCCACCUUUUCUUGUACAUUAAGAAUCAAUCCAUCAAUAAGAAUAUUGAUGAAAUUACUUUUAGAACUGAGCUGAAAUGGGAUUUUUUUGCUCUGUGACAAAUUCUUAGAUUUUGGGGAAAAAAAUUCAUUCUGUAGAGUAAUGAAAGAAACCCUCAAUUUUCUGAAAAACAGCUGCCUGGCUACCCACUUGGCAGCCAGGGAUCUGGGCAGCCUAUCCAUUCUCCAGUAGGGUAGCCUGGGAAGCCAGGUGGGGAACUGGCUGCUUGUGAUUCCUGAACCCAUAGCUCCUGGGGGAGUCCCAGCUCCCACCUGCUGGGGUGUCUGGGAGCCUGGAUUGCCAAGGAGCCAGGAGCUUGGGAGUGGGGGCUCCCUGGGCUGCCAGGUCAAGCUCUCCAGUAACCCACCAAGUGGGUUACCAAGGAGGUGGGUAGGUGAGUUACAGGCAGGCUUCAAUACCCGAGUGGCAGGCAGGGUUCUGUUGGAAACCUGCCAAGUCGGAUGGAUUUCUGCUGAAAUUGACAUGGAACAUUUUGAUUUCGAUAACUAAGUAGAGUUGAUCAGAAAAUGCUGAAAGUAUCAUGCUUUCCAGAGAUAUUGUCACAGGCUGGCAGGCCUUUGAGUCGACCUGAGUUUAUUUAACAGCUAUCCCUCAGCCUGAAUGAUGAGCUGGCAACAUAACUGCUAGUUAGUGACCCCAGCUUGGUAUACUGGGGCUUAAUUAGAAAAUGACCCCAGCUGUUGUGAUGAACAGGGCUGAUGUUACGGAUAGCAAGCAGGGCAAUUGCCCAGGGCUCAAACAUAGGGGCUGGAACGAGCGGUGCUGGGGGUGCUGCUGCACCCCUUGGCUUGAAGUGUUUACAGUUUACAGGGUUUACAGUUUGGUUCAAUGGCUCUCAGAACCCCCACCAUACAAGUUGUUUUAGAACCCUUGGGCUUGAGCGUUGGCUUCAGAAACAUUGCAGAAAUCUAAUGUGUGAGUAGGUAACGGAGGUGGGCUGGGAGCUCCCUCCUUAAUUUCUGCCUGGGCCCCAGUGUGUCUAAUGCCAGCCUACAUGUGAAACAGGGAGAGUACUACUUAAAUAGAGCUGGUAACUCGAUGAGGGGAGACCUAGGGGAGAGGAGCUAGGGAAAGUUCCCUCUCCCUGGGAAGGUCCUAGAGGAAGGUAUGGUUGUUUAGCUCUGCUUUCUGGUCACAGGCAGUUCCAAAGGAGCAGGGCUAACUCCUGUGGUAGGGCCCUAGGAUGGAGAGAAGCCCCAGCCUAGGGUCUGUGAACCAGGGAAUGAGAGAGAAGCUCAUGAAGGGUGAAACGCUACUUAAAGUGGUACUUACCCUCCCCAGCAGGGAAAAGCUUGUUGGAGGGGGGUCAGUACCCCAACAAGGGGGAAGAAUUGAAGUCGAGCCCCAGGAGUAGGACCUUUGGUAGGGCUGAAUCUUGGAAGGGAACUGAACUGUUGUGUGACUUGGACGGAGGUCUGAGCCACAGAAGAGCCAGUGAGAGAAUCUUAAGAUAAGAUCAGCUGGGACAGCGGAGAAAGUGAUUACUAGGGCAAAAUCUCCUGCAAUGCUGCAUCCGGGCAGGAGGGGGAACCUUUAGAGGUAAAGAUAUGCCCUUGGAGAUACAGAAGCAGAUUGCUUAGAAUAAAGUAAUUGGAAAAGGGGAGAACCCCUUAGCAUCCAUGAACUUUAGACUCUUUUCCCAUGGAAGUCUUUGAAAUUGCUUAUUGCAAAAUGUGUAUGACACAGAUAAGUCAGCUGAAUGGUUUUAGAUUCAAGUUUAUUCUGAAGACCAUAAGCUUCUCAAAGGACUUUUGGAGAAGCAAACAGUGACAGCUCAGACAAGUCCCAAGAUUGAUAUGAAAAAGGCAUUGGACGUAGAACAUAAGAAUUUAGUGUCUGAUUCCAGGGUCCAAUUCCUCUUACUGGGUGAUUUAAAAGGAGGCAAAGAUUUCAGAGUUUGUUGUCUGGAUCUAUCUUAGAGGUGAUAUAGAAACUGUCAUAUUGGAAGCCAAAGACAGAGGACUGUACUUGUCAAUAUUAGCAUUGUUCUGCAUUUUGACUGAGUUAUAGAGUAUAAUUUGGAGAUGAAUCUUAUGUAAAUCCAGCAUGAGUUCAAUAUUUGUUAGGUUAGGGUGCUCGUUUAAGAUAGAUAAUAGCUUUUUCUACAGCACAAACUUUUGUUAAAAAAAUUGGUUUUGGUGAGAGCAGUUUCUACUACUGAUAAUCCAAUAUCUGUGAGAAACAUGAAAUUCACCUUUAAAAAUAUAUUUAAAGGGAGUUCAAUUUUGAGUUACAUUUUCUAGGGUGCAUGUGUUAUAUGCACUACAGGAGACCAAUAGAAUAUUAACACCUUCUUGGUUUUUUUCAGUAUGGGACAGUAAUGCAGAUGUGCCAUAUAUUUGGUAUGGGUUUAAAUUUGUGGGCAGAAUAAACUAUGUUGUGAAUGUCUGUUAUGUAUUAAUGGAGAGUUAAUAUUCUUUUCUGACCUUUAAGCUGUGGUCUUAGUGCAUCUUUACUCAAUAUUUUUUAUUAAUGAGACCUAAUAUAACUGUUAGCAUACAGAGAAUUCAAAACAGUGUAAUUGCAUGUAGAAAUUGUCCAGCUAAUAGAAAACUACAAAGUAAUUGGUCAGAUGCUCUCAGAAGAUCAACAUUCUGUGGAUUACUUUUAGUACAAUUGGAGCAAUUGUCCAAAAGAAGCAUGAGAGAAUUGGAAUUUUGAAAUAUUUUGAUAGAAUGUUCAUUUUGGUACAAAAGAACAAGUGAAAGGGGUAUUAUGAGGUAGCUUUCAGAGAAAGUGAUAGGGAGGGUUGAAGGAAGACUGGCAAACGAUUGGAAUGGUUGGUUACCCUCCCUGUCAAAAAUGUAUGCCUUAUAUCCAGUCCAAAUUUGUCUGGCUUCAACUUCCAGGCAUUGGAUUAUGUUAUAUCUUUCUCUGCUAGACUGAAGAGCACAUUAUUAAGUAUUUCUUCCCCAUGGAGGUACUGUAAUCACAUCACCCCUAACCUUCUCUUUGUUAAGCUAAAUAGAUUGAGCUCUUUUCUCAAACACUAUAAGGCUUGUUUUCUAGUCUUUUUAAUCAUUCUCCUGCCUCUUCUCUGAAACUUCUCCAGUAUGUCAUCAUCCUUUUUGAAUUGUAUACAUCAGAACAUCAACAGUAUUCCAGCAUCAGUCGUAUUAGUGCCAAAUACAGAGUAUAACAUCAGAAGCUCAUGUUCAGCUGAUUAUCCACGAUGAACCCUAACUCUCUUGCAGAGUCACUGCUUCCCAGGAUAAAGCCCCACAUCUUUGUGAAAAACUUUACAGUCCAAGUCAAAUAUGAUGCAUGGAAUAGUUCAAACACAAGAAGAUGCUGUUUCACCUGCAGAGUCUACUUGUGGCCAUGUGCUGAGAGCGGUGUGCUACUUCCCAGUCUCAGAUAUUGGCAAAUAUAAUAGAUAUAUGCCCCCCUUUUGACACUCUUUGCGAGACAGUAAAUGAUAUGGUGGCAAACCAAUCUGCAGCUGGUCAUCCGUCUCUGCUAGGGAUGAACAGGGCUUCACUGGCUCAUAUAAACCACAAGCUGUAUGUCCAGCAAAGCUUUUCCCCUGGAUGGCAUGAACUUCUGGAAAUCAAGCCCAUCUUUAUUUCCAUAAGCUUUUAGCUUAGCUUUUUCAGUGUAACUUUGCCACUCAACAUUUGACCUUCUCUCCAUCAUCAAUCUCGGGCAGUGAGGAAUCUGGACCAUCAGACUCCUUUGGCAUGCCAGAGAUGAGGCUGGUCUCUCAUCACCAGGUCCCCAAGGAAGGGUCCUGAUUUCAGGGCAAGAACCUGAUUAUCUUCUGGUCAGAUCAUUGGUGAGACUGUAAACCCUCUAAAAAUCAUGCUAACAGAGUCAAGAGAAUUGGAUAUGAAUGUGGAAGAUCAAAUAGGGCAUUGGACCGUGGGUAGACUGCCAGUGAGGCCCAACCUGGCUUUGAGGAAGAUAGAUGGGCCAUGCUACAGCACAAGGAGAGCUCAACCUAUUUGACUCAUCCAGACUAACUCCAGGCCUCCAGGGGAGGAUAAUAAAGAGCUAAAGCUUGGCUACCACUUUAAUGGAUGCAGUGCAUUCUCUGCCUGCAGUUGGCCAGCUUGGGGGGGGGGGUAGUGGGGGACCUGGGGACCAAAGCUUUGUGUUCAGCCCACCUUAGGGAGCCUAGCACCACCUUGCAUGAUGUCUGUGCUCCCCAAGCACAUUGUGACAGGAGGGCAAGGAUCUUUAUGACUCUGCCACACCAUUGUGCACCCACACAGGGCCAGCUCGAAUCUAGCUCAUACCGCAAACCAAUCAUAUAUUUGCUCAUUCAGACACACAAUAUAGGCACACAGGACAUAUACAGCUGUACCUUAAUUGUAGCUAGUGCUACCUCCAUUGUUGCACAUUGCCUCAAUGUCAAACUUUUAGCUUCCUCUCGAGUGACGUGGUCCUGAAAAACAUGGUAAUAUUGUAGCUGUUAUAAGGAAAAGCAAGUCUUGCUGCUUCUCUUGCCUUUUUAAAAACAUCUACAUUUGGCAAGGAUGCACUCACCCUUCAACUCGUUUUUUUAAAAAAUAAAUUACAAUGCAAAGCUAUUCCAUUGUUUGUUGAAAAUGAGAAUUGAAAAGAAAAACUGAAAUUUAAUGCUAGGGUAUCUGUAAAGUGUUUUCCAAUUAUUUUGAAAAGACAAGUUGAUUUUCUGUUCUGUAAAAGAAAUGGAUUAAAUGUUAUAAAUGUGUUGAAUACUCAUGGAUGCCAUUAAAAUUGCAUAUUUUACUAAUGAAAUUUGACUUUGGCAGUAAAUUGGUGUUUGGCAGAAGCCCAAACUUAAACAAAAGUCUGA